GACGUAGGGCGCGAGCGUUGUCCGGAUUUAUUGGGCGUAAAGAGCUCGUAGGCGGCUUGUCGCGUCGUCCGUGAAAACCCACAGCUCAACUGUGGGCUUGCGGUCGAUACGGGCAGGCUAGAGUUCGGCAGGGGAGAGCUGGAAUUCCUGGUGUAGCGGUGAAAUGACGCAGAUAGUCAGGGAGGGAACACCCGGGUGGGCGAAGGCGGGGUCUCUGGGCCGAUACUGACGCUGGAGGAGCGAAAGCGUGGGGAGCAAACAGG
rnacentral:rRNA from 1 species